AGUGAACGCUGGCGGCAGGCUUAACACAUGCAAGUCGAACGGAAGCACAGUAAGAGCUUGCUCUUACGGGUGGCGAGUGGCGGACGGGUGAGGAAGACAUCGGAAUCUACUUUUUCGUGGGGGAUAACGUAGGGGAACUUACGCUAGUACAGCAUAAGACCUACGGGUGAAAGCAGGGGAUCUUCGGACCUUGCGCGAUUGAAUGAGCCGAUGUAGGAUUAGCUAGUUGGCGGGGUAAAGGACCACCACGGCGGCGAUCCGUAGCUGGUCUGAGUGGAUGAUCAGCCACACGGGAACUGAGACACGGUCCAUACUCCUACGGUAGGCAGCAGUGUGGAAUAUUGGACAAUGGGCGCAAGCCUGAUCCAGCCAUACCGCGUGUGUUAAGAAGGCCUUCGGUUUGUAAAGCCCUUUUGUUGGGAAAGAAAAGCAUCAGGUUAAUACCCCGCUGUACUGACGGUACCCAAAGAAUAAGCACCGGCUAACUUCGUG
rnacentral:rRNA from 1 species